AGGGUUUGAUCAUGGCUCAGGAUGAACGCUAGCGGCAGGCUUAACACAUGCAAGUCGAGGGGUAUAGUUCUUCGGAGCUAGAGACCGGCGCACGGGUGCGUAACGCGUAUGCAAUCUACCUUUUACAGAGGGAUAGCCCAGAGAAAUUUGGAUUAAUACCUCAUAGUAUGUGAGAAUCGCAUGGUUUUCACAUUAAAGUUCCAACGGUAAAAGAUGAGCAUGCGUCCCAUUAGCUAGAUGGUAAGGUAACGGCUUACCAUGGCUACGAUGGGUAGGGGUCCUGAGAGGGAGAUCCCCCACACUGGUACUGAGACACGGACCAGACUCCUACGGGAGGCAGCAGUGAGGAAUAUUGGACAAUGGGCGCAAGCCUGAUCCAGCCAUGCCGCGUGCAGGAUGACGGUCCUAUGAAUUGUAAACUGCUUUUUGUACAGGAAGAAACACUCCCUCGUGAGGGAGCUUGACGGUACUGUAAGAAUAAGGAUCGGCUAACUCCGUGCCAGCAGCCGCGGUAAUACGGAGGAUCCAAGCGUUAUCCGGAAUCCUUGGGUUUAAAGGGUCC
rnacentral:rRNA from 1 species